GAUGAACGCUGGCGGCGUGCCUAAUACAUGCGAGUCGAGCGAACAGACGAGGAGCUUGCUCCUCUGACGUUAGCGGCGGACGGGUGAGUAACACGUGGAUAACCUACCUAUAAGACUGGGAUAACUUCGGGAAACCGGAGCUAAUACCGGAUAAUAUAUUGAACCGCAUGGUUCAAUAGUGAAAGACGGUUUUGCUGUCACUUAUAGAUGGAUCCGCGCCGCAUUAGCUAGUUGGUAAGGUAACGGCUUACCAAGGCAACGAUGCGUAGCCGACCUGAGAGGGUGAUCGGCCACACUGGAACUGAGACACGGUCCAGACUCCUACGGGAGGCAGCAGUAGGGAAUCUUCCGCAAUGGGCGAAAGCCUGACGGAGCAACGCCGCGUGAGUGAUGAAGGUCUUCGGAUCGUAAAACUCUGUUAUUAGGGAAGAACAAAUGUGUAAGUAACUAUGCACGCCUUGACGGUACCUAAUCAGAAAGCCACGGCUAACUACGUG
rnacentral:rRNA from 1 species